GGCUAUGUAGCUCAGUUGGUUAUAGCACCGCACUCGUAAUGCGGGGGUCACAAGUUCAAGUCUCGACAUAGCCACCA
rnacentral:tRNA from 1 species